UCGGGGUGCACUAGCACGGAGCCUCCGCUGCCGCCGCUGCUGCUGCUGCUGCUGCGCGGCUACGCGUCAUUCAUACUCCGCGCCUGCGGAUGAGAUUGUUGUUUGUGGGCCCAGCACAAAUAGAUGAUGGAAAAAAAAAAAAAAAAGUCUGGUUGCUGGAUUGCCUACAAGAAUCCCUUCAGCAGAAGAACAACAAGGACCUCUCAAAGACUCUUUGGACCAAACAAACACCUCUUCCUUCCUCAGCCACAACCUGCCUGUCUACUCUUAGACUCUGUGAGAAACCCAUAGAACCCUGAAGACCACUUGGGCCCCACACCUUCAAGAACACUAUCUAAUUACCACCACUUUCAGCCUGCCCUUGAGCCCAGUGAGCCACCUGUCUGUUCAUCAUACUGGCAAAGGUUUCUACCACCUUCGUUAACCUUCUUCUCCCUUUCCCACACACCGAUGAACCCUAUUGCCCGAAGUCCUCCAUUGUUUUGGUCAUAAAUAAAUAUUUACACUGCUUCUUUGA